rnacentral:pre_miRNA from 1 species
UUUAUUUGACACCAUUGACUUUUUAGCACAUGUUUGACCGCUCGUCUUAUUCAAAAAUUUUAAAUAAUUAUUAAUUAUUUUUCUAUCAUUUGAUUGAUUGUUAAAUAUACUUUUAUGCAUACGUAUAGUUUUACAUAUUUCACAAAAGUUUUUAAAUAAGACGAACGGUCAAAUAUGUGCUAAAAAGUCAACGGUGUCAAAUAAA